UGAGCCUUAGAGUUCCUUAUCCUUUUCUCUA
rnacentral:piRNA from 1 species